AUGGAUCUCUAUGGGGCACUAUUGGGUCCUAUAGGGCACAAUGGGUCUCUGUGGGGCUCUGUGGUUCUCUAUGGGUCCCUAUGGGUCUCUAUGUGUCUCUAUGUGUCUCUAUGUGUCCCUAUGGGGUCUCUAUGGGUCCCUAUGGGGUCUCUAUGUGUCUCUGUGUGGUCCCUAUGUGUCCCUAUAGGUCUCUACAGGUCCCUAUGGGUCCCUAUGGGUCCCUAUGGGGUCUCUAUGGAUCUUUAUGGGGUCCCUAUGUGUCCAUAUGGGUCUCUAUGGGGUCCCUAUGGGUCCCUAUGGGUCUCUAUGGGUCUCUAUGGGUCCCUAUGUGUCCCUAUGGAUCUCUAUGGGUCUCUAUGUGUCCCUAUGUGUCCAUAUGGGUCUCUAUGGGUCUCUAUGGGUCUCUAUGGGUCCCUAUGGGUCCCUAUGGGGUCUCUAUGGAUCUUUAUGGGGUCCCUAUGUGUCCAUAUGGGUCUCUAUGGGGUCCCUAUGUGUCCAUAUGGGUCUCUAUGGGGUCCCUAUGUGUCCAUAUGGGUCUCUAUGGGGUCCCUAUGGGGUCCCCAUGGGUCCCUAUGGGUCUCUAUGGGUCCCUAUGUGUCCCUAUGGAUCUCUAUGGGUCCCUAUGUGUCCCUAUGGAUCUCUAUGGGUCUCUAUGUGUCCCUAUGGGUCCCAAUGUGGUCUCUAUGGGCCCCUAUGUGUCUCUAUGGGUCCCUAUGUGUCCAUAUGUGUCUCUAUGGGGUCUCUAUGGGUCCCUAUGGGGUUCCUAUGGGGUCUGUAUGGAUCUUUAUGGGGUCUCAAUGGGUCUCUAUGUGUCCCUAUGGGUCUCUAUGGGUCCCUAUGUGUCCCUGUGUGUCCCUAUGUGUCCCUAUGGGGUCUAUAGGUCUCAGUGGGUCCCUGUGGGUCCCUAUGUGUCCCUAUGGGUCUCUAUGGGGUUCUAUGGGGCUCUAUGGGGCACUAUUGGGUCCUAUAGGGCACAGUGGGUCUCUAUGGGUCCCUAUGUGUCCCUAUGUGUCCCUAUGGGUCUCUAUGGGUCCCUAUGGGUCCCAAUGGGGUCAAUGCAUCCCUAUGGGGUCCCUAUGUGUUUCUAUGGGGCACAAUAGGGUUCUAUGGGACUCUAUAGGACCCAAUGGGGUCCCUAUGGGGUUUCUAUGGGUCUCUAUCGAUCUCUAUGGGUCUCUAUGGGUCCCUAUGGGGCUCUGUAGGUCUCUAUGGAGCACUCAAUGGGGUCUUUAUGUAUCUCUAUGGGUCCCUAUGGGUCUCUAUGUGUCUCUAUGGGUCCCUAUGGGUCUCUAUGUGUCCCUUUGGGUCUCUGUGUGUCUCUAUGGGACGCUAUUGGGUCCUAUAGGGCACAAUGGGCCUCUGUGGGGCUCUAUAGGACCCAAUGGGGUCCCUAUGGGUCCCUAUGUCUCUCUAUGUGUCCCUAUGUGUCUCUAUGGGUCCCUAUGGGUCUCUAUGUGUCUCUAUGGGGUCCCUAUGGGUCUCUAUGUGUCUCUAUGGCCCUCUAUAGGUCCCUAUGUGUCCCUAUGGGUCCCUAUUGGUCCCUAUGGGUCCCUAUGGGGUCUCUAUGGGUCCCUAUGUAUUUCUAUGGGGUCCCUAUGGGUCUUAUGGGGUCUCUAUGUAUCUUUAUGGGGUCUCUAUUGGUCCUUAUUGGUCUCUAUGUGUCCCUAUGUGUCCCUAUGGGUCCCUAUGUCUCUCUAUGGAUCUUUAUGGGGUCCCUAUGGGUCUCUGUGGGUCUCUAUGGGGUCUCUGUGCAUCUCUAUGGGUCUCUAUCGAUCUCUAUGGGUCCCUAUAGGUCUCUAUGGGUCCUAUGUCUCUAUAUGGGGUCUCUAUGGGGCUCUAUGGGGUCUCAAUGGGUUUCUAUGGGGUUCUAUGGGACACUAUAGGGUUCUAUGGGGUCCCUAUGGGGUCCCUCUGGGUCUCUAUGUGUCCCUAUGUGUCCCUAUGUGUCCCUAUGUGUCCCUAUGUGUCUCUAUGGGUCUGUAUGGGUCCCUAUGGAUCUCUAUGUGUCCCUAUGUGUCCCUAUGUGUCCCUAUGUGUCCCUAUGUGUCCCUAUGUGUCCCUAUGGGUCUCUAUGUGUCCCUAUGGGUCUCAGUGUGUCCCUAUGUGUCUCUAUGGGUCUCUAUGUGUCCCUAUGGGUCUGUAUGGGUCCCUAUGGAUCUCUAUGUGUCUCUAUGGGUCCCUAUGGGUCUCUAUGGAGUCUCUAUGGUGUCCCAAUGGGGUCUGUAUUGGGUCUCUAUGGGUCUGAAUGGGGUCUGUGUGUCCCUAUGUAUCCCUAUGGGUCCCAAUGUGGUCUCUAUGGGUCCCUAUGUAUCUCUAUGUAUCUCUAUGGGUCUCUAUGGGUCCCUAUGUAUCUCUAUGGGUCCCUAUGGGUCUCUAUGGGUCCCUAUGUAUCUCUAUGGGUCCCUAUGGGUCUCUAUGGGUCCCUAUGGGGUCUCUAUGGGUCUCUAUGUGCCCCUAUGGGUCUCUAUGGGGUCUCUGGCUCUCAAUGGAUCUCUAUGGGUCCCAAUAGGUCUCAAUAGGGUCAGUGGGUUCCAAUGGGUCCCAAUGGGGUCUAUGGGUCUCUAUGGAUCUCUAUUUGUCCCUAUGGGUCUCUAUGGGUCUGAAUGGGAUCUAUGUGUCUCUAUGGGUCCCUAUGGGUCCCAAUGGGGUCAAUGGGUUUCUAUGGGGUCUAUGGGGUCUCUAUGGGUCUCUAUGGUUCCCUAUGGGUCCCUAUGGUUCUGUAUGGAUCUCUAUGUGUCUCUAUGGGGCACUCUAUGGGGUCUAUGGGGUCUCUAUGGGUCUCUAUGGGGUUCUAUGUGUCCCUAUGUGUCCCUAUGGGUCCCUAUGUGUCCCUAUGUGUCUCUAUGGGGCACAAUAGGGUUCUAUGGGGCUCUAUAG
rnacentral:lncRNA from 1 species